CUUUCUAGGGAUGACCUUGAAGCUGUCAGCUUUAGAGAAGGGUUAUGAGGAAUAAGUUGAUUGGAGAGUUGUUGAUUAUUUUAGAUAUUGGGUUCUGAGCCUCUUGGGCAUGCAUGGUUCACCAUUUUUCUGCAAGGUGUAAAUAGUGGUCUUAAACAUAUUCCAGUUAGUAGAGUCACUUUUCUAGAUGGCGUUUGCUCUGGCAGUGUUGUUGUGAAGGUGAUUCGUUUCUGGUCGUGUCCUACCUUAAAAGUGAAUGCAGCUUUGAACCAUUUUUCGUCUCUGCCUCUUCUUCAAUCCUUAUGGUGAUGAGGUACCUGAUUUGAUGUUGAUUUCACCAACUCCAAUAUCGGUGUUGUAGAUGUUGGUCUUGAUGAACUAUUUGAGGUUCACAGGAAAAUAUACUAAUUUGAACUUAAGCACCAGGUGGCUUGGAUGUAGGAGAAGAGAUUUAUUUGAGCAAGGCUCUUAAAGUAAAAGCCAUAUGAAAAGGUCUCUUCUACACGAUACAUCCUCUUGCCAUUUAUUUUCUUUCCUGAUUUGUUCCCAAGUUUGGGUUACCUUUCUUAGUAUUUAUUAUGUGGCUGAUUUGAGCUAAACUCAGCUAUUUUUAUGAUGUUUUGAAUGCUUACUUCUUCUGUAUUCAGUGGUGUAAAGUACCUCCUGCUAAUAUUCUGAAUAUAAAAAUAUAUGAUUCUUAUAAAAAAGAGUUGAGUGCUGAGUUUGUUUUAGGUUGAAACACCAUUUCACUAAACCUGCUAAUGUUCUGUAUAUAUGUGUCUCAAUAGAGUUACUCUAUUGCUAAAUAUGUGAUGGUAUUUGUAUAGUUAUCUCCCCUUCCUCCCUAAUUAUUGCUAUUCCCACUUUAAGACCAAUAUUAAAUGUAAUGUUGACAAAAAGAGUACAUGGCAAUUAUUUGAAGUAGACUAUUGGAACAAAUAGUCUUUCUCUAUGAACAAGACUACCUGCCAUUAUGUAUAUAUAUUUGAAUCUACAAUUCUGCCAUUAUUUUAAUAAAUGGUGUUUCUUUUGAAAAUUUGAAGGAUGCAUGAGUUUUAGGUGAAGUGCAUAAUGGUUGGUACAUAGAGAAGGACAUUUGGGGUAUUCCAUGAGAGAGCUUGAGCAUAAAAGAGGUUAGAGAAGCAAGCCAUUGAGAGAGCAUGAUUCAUUUAAAUUCCCAUUUUUUUUGGCUGCAGAUUGCAUAAAUGGGGGCAAGCCAUUGAUAGCAAUCCAACUUCCAACUUUUGCCAUUCCUAAUUUUCUAUAAUAUGGAACAAGGAUUCAAGUUUAUGACGAUCUUCGAAGAGCUGAGGAAGUAAAUACACCCCCUUAAUUCCAUUUGUCCAUCCCCCCCAAAUCAUGCUUAGGCCCCAUUUAUAUUCUUUAAAUUUCCAACAAUGGUACCCCUUUUUAGAAUCAAUCCUAACCUUAAAUAAUGAUGAUAUUUAUUUUACUUUGCUUCAUCAGAUUCUAUUUCAUAGACCAAUUUUCGUUACAUGAACAUUAUUUCCAUAUUACAUUAUGAUGCAUAAAAAAAUGAUUAUUUCCAUAA